rnacentral:tRNA from 2 species
GGGGAUAUAGCUCAGUUGGUAGAGCUCCGCUCUUGCAAAGCGGUUCGAGUCCGCUUAUCUCCA